GUGGGACACCGAGCAAGGACUCCACCAUUCGGCUCAAGCCAAAACUCAUGUGCAGUGAGAUCAUUUGUAAUCAAAAGUCAUUUCAAUUCAGGCCGUUCAUUCAAAACACAACAAAUCUAACCGUCCAUCGCACUGCACUUCCAUAUCACACCAUCGCAAAUGUAAAAUGCAAGCAGCGUUCGAUUCGGUCAAUCUUCAACUCGCUAAGGACACCUAAUUACCACAACUAAAUGAGCAACGACGGUCGUCGCAUCAUCAGCUUGACCGGUAGAAGGGUCAGCGGUCGAUAUCAAAGGCAUGCAAUCCAAAUAUUCGCAGCUGCAUAAAAGUGGGGCAGCCGUUCCAUUGUACCCAGCAAACCGGAGAUGCUGAAGUUGCGUAAGAAACAGAUGUGUGUUACGAGGAAGGUCGGACGAAGAUUAGAUUCUAAGAACACCUCGAGGCUAUGGCAGAAGGCAUGAACUUUCUAAUUUGAAAAUAGACAAAGAGAUCCGGCUUGGCUUGUAUAUACGAAGGAUGAUAAACUAACUGCAACAAGAAGCUAGAAAUCUUAUGCCGAAAAGCAAGUCAAUAAAUAAAGAACAAAAUGACCACAAUCUGAGCAGGCCAUCAGAUAAGUACUCUAAAUUUUAAUUUUGUUUAAACAUAUAGCUAUCGGCAUGGUUUAGUGAUGAUAAUAAGCACAAACAAUAAAUCUAUACUAAAAAAAUGCCACUCAUUAUUUUAAAUGAAAUUUAUAUAGUACAUUCAAAUACCUUGCAUAUUACGACUAUUUAAUAUUUGCAAUAGUAGGAAGUUCAUCAAUUGGAAACUUUGAGAUCGUGGUGAAAGAAAAAAAGAAAUUGUACUAACAUGAAGUUGCUUAUAUACAAAUAAAAAAUACACAUAUCACAAAAUUUCUUAUUUUCUCAUCUACUACAAAAUACAUUCCAAAACUUGAAAAUGAAAAUAAGUAUGUGAACUACUAAAUAAUCUACUGCUACUCAAGCAGUAAUCUAAUAUAUGCAAAGAAAAAAAUUGCAACCUAGUAACACUACAAAAAAAGUGAGUUUUAGCAACGGUCUACAACGACCAUUAAAAUCGUUACAAUACAUAUACCUUUUAUAACGAUUAUUUUAAUGUCGUUUCUAAAUAUAAUUAUUUUACAACGCCUAAUAAAAUCGUUAUUAAAAGUUAUACUUUUAGCAACGACUUAAUUUAUAUCGUUUUUAAAGAUAAUUAUUUUACAACGACUAAUCAUGUCAUUGUAAAUUAUUUGCUUUACUAACGAUUUAAUAUAUGUCGUUUUUAAAUAUUAUCAUUUCACAACGACAAAUAAUUUCGUUGCUAAAAGAAAGAAGGAAUAAUUAAAAUCCCACAUUGAAAAUAAAUGAAAUGAGAAUGAUGCAUUCUCACUAUAAAAGAAACUCACCCUUCACUAUAAAAAUAAUUUUUACUUUUGUUGUAAUAUAUCAAUCAAAAAAUAAAAAAUAUUAAAUUUUAAUAAUAAUUGUAUUUUAAAUUAUAAAAAUUAUAAAAUUAUAUAACAUAUUAAAAUAAUAAUUAAUAUUAUAAUGUUUUGACAACGACUUUUUAUAGUUACUAAUAACUUUUAACAACCAAUCUUAUAGAUUUUGUAAAAUUUAUAUCAACGACCAUUAUUUAAAAAAGUCGUUAUAAAAAGCAUUACAUUACGCCAACACGCACAACCACAUUUGUCGUUGUUAAAAACUUUUAACAACCAAAUUUUAGGUUUUCACAACGACAACUCACGUUUUCAAAAAUCAAGUUUCUUGUAGUGUAAGAAAACUAUAGUUGUGUGUUCAAACUUCAAACUCUAACAUAUGUAAUGUUUGUAUGCAGGAGUAAAUAGGGAAAGACAACUAAAGGCUGUGGUUACAAAUCAGCCACGUAAGCAGGCUUCUUCAAGAAGCUGCUUCCUCAAGAAGCAGGGGUAAAAAAGCCAAGGGAAAAAAAUAUGGACUUGAUGCUGCCACAUAAGAUUUAACAAUACAGCGCUUACUUGUUCAAGAAGUUGCUUACUUAAGAAGUUCAUUUGGUGGUUUAUUUGUCAAAGGACCCACAUGUGAUGGGCAUUCGUGCCUUUAAAAUGCACAUGUCUUGGUUUACUUAAGUAAAUUACCAAGUAUAGUAAACUAACCUUAAGAGAUAGGAGUGAGGGUGUAAAUGUAAGUAAAAAGUGAAAUGGCAUAAAUAUAUAGUGUUGACUGUAUAAUUACAACUUCUAAGGCAUUGAGAGGCAAUGAUAAAAGGGCAUUUAAAGGAGAAGCAGAACAUUGUUCGAUGUACAGUGUUUUCUGCUUCUCUUUUAUAAAUUAGUAUAUUGAUUGUUAUCUUUGGCAAAAGAAAAAGUUAGUUUUCUUUAUCUA